AUCAACAGACUAGAGAAAAAUUAAGUUCAGUUGAUACAGCUUUCUAAUUCCUUCCCCUGAAUGAGAGCAGUGGCCUUGCAGUGGCCUCCCGGCUUGUCCAGCUCCAUUCAUUCAAUUCGGCUUCCCAAACGCUGGGCACUGUUCCACAUGAUGCCUAUGGACACUGACCAGGAUGGCCACUGCCUCUGGCAGCUAAAGAGCUAACUGCGGUCAAAUGCCAUGUGUGCUACCAGGAGGAGAAGUACUCAGGGCCUCCCAGGCCAGCACCUGCCCCUGCUUGGUUGGGUGUGUGUCAGGCCAGGCUUCCCAGGAGAAUGGAUGCCGUCAGUCCCCCUGCACCUGGCCCCUCGGUCUCUGGAGCUGUGUAAGGUGCCCCUGACUUCUACUUCCCGCUGGGAGCCUGCUGGUUCUGAUCGUGUGUCUGCACUUUUCUUCCCCCCACUGUCUCCUCUCACCCAGAAGUCUGGAGCUCCUUCUCUGUGGCUUCCCUGUUCUCAACACUGCCUCCAAGGUGAGCUUUUGAAAUCUGCAGGUCUGGGCAUGUCCGUCCCCAAACCCCCAAGGGCUCCUUGCUGCCCUCAGGAGGAGCCCCAGCCCCUUGGUGCAGCGCCUGAUUCCUUCCAGGAGCUGCUGUGCUUUCCUCCUCAUGCUCUGAGCCACAGCCUCACGGUUCUUAACCACAUGCCAGGUCUUCUCUGGCCUUUUAUCCUGUUCCCCUCCCCUGCAACCAUCUUCCCUGCCUGUCUGUUCGUUACCUGUUGACUUUUGUUGCUGCUUCAGGAAGUAGCUUCAUCAUCCAACCUCAGGGUGUGUCAGAAUGACCCAAGGGCUUGUUAAAACACAUUACGGGCCCCACCCCUGAGUUCCUGAUCCACAGGCCUGUGGUGUGGCCUGAUGAAAGACUGCACGCGUUCUAACUAUUUCCCAGGAGAUGUUGAAGCUGCUGGUCCGGGGACCAGGCUGGGAAGAUCACCAGGGUCCGUGAUCACCCAGGACAGGGCCACUGGUUCUUCUGGCUCCCACUGUGACCUCCUCAUGCCUGAUGACAGCUGCCGUUGUUGUCACACACAAUUGUAACCGUUUACUUCCCUGGCUCCUCUUCUGGCCUGUAAGCCCUUCAGGGACAACACUGUGGCUUCUUCAUCUUUGGGCUUUCGAGUCCCGGAUACCCGAUAAACAUUUGUCAAAGAAUGACUGAGUGAGUGAACUGGAAUGUCAUAUUGGAGGCUUUAAUUAAUAUGCCCCAGGACAUUUUCAGCAGCUAGUUUUCCUGAGAGUUUAUCCCCAGAUAGGAUGGUAUAGACUUACAUGGGAUGUUAAUGAGGUCAGUAUUAACUUAAGAGCCGGUUAACUUUGUGGUUUUGGGGCCCAAAUUCCAGAGAGGUCUAGGGGAGGGGAUCACUUUAAACCCAUUAUUGGUACAGAAAUGACUCAAAAAUACAUAGUUUUCUUCAAGUGGCUCAGUAUGAAAAUAAUGCGUCCACAGGAAAUGCAGAUAUUUAAUUUAGCAGCCACAGCAUAUGCAUGGCCUCUUUAUUUGAAAUAAUAAAUCAUAUUGAACUGAAAUUAAAUAUAACCAGAUGUUUAAUCAUUUCUCCAAGCCAGAGGGAGGGAUAGCCAGAAUACUUCAUUUCCUUAUUCAUUCCGCACAUGUUUAUUAAGCACUUACUAUGUGGGCCCCAGGGAGGGUAUGGCAGUGAGCGGACUGCUCUCUGCUGUCUUCAUGGGAGGGGCUGUGAAGAAACAGAGAUGGGUGGUGUGAUGCAAGAUGCCUAAUGGGCUUCUUUAGAUCCAGAGGUCCUAGUAGGUGACUGUCAAGCAGUGUCCUGAGUGAGUGAUGGCCAUGUCAAGAUCAUGACACAGAGAGGAGCAAUUUCAGGCCAGGAGAAUAGUGCACAGGGCUUCGAUUUAAAACAUCUUGUUGGGUGGGGGAGAGGGAUAAAUUAGGAGUUUGGGAUAAAUAGAAACACAUUGCUAAAUAUAAAAUAGAUAAACAGCAAGGACCUACUGUACAGCACAGGGAACUCUAUUCUGUGUCUUGCAAUAACCUAUCAUGGCAACGAAUCUGAAAAAGUAUAUGUAUGUUCAGUACACAUAAUUGAAUCACAUUGUUGUACACCUGAAACCAACACAACAUUGUGAAUCAACUAUACUUCAAUUAAAAAAAAAAAAAAUCUCUUCUAGGAGCCCUAGUGCUCCUAUAGUCCUGAAGACUGGAUUGCUGUCACCUGAUUAUUGUGCCUGCUUGUCCAGACAUCAGCUCUUGCCUUGCUUCCACGGCUUCCAGUUUCCCGCUGUGGCACAGUGGAAACAAAUCCGACUAGGAACCAUGAGGUUUCGGGUUCGAUCCCUGGCCUUGCUCAGUGAGUUAAGGAUCUGGCAUUGCCAUGAGCUGUGGUAUAGGUCGCAGACACGGCUUGGAUAUGGCAUGGCUGUGGCUGUGUCAUAGGCCGGUGGCUACAGCUCCGAUUCAGCCCCUAACCUGGGAACCUCCAUAUGCUGCAGGUGCAGCC
ensembl:lncRNA